CCUACGGGAGGCAGCAGUUGGGAAUUUUGCACAAUGGACGAAAGUCUGAUGCAGCAACGCCGCGUGCGGGAUGAAGAUUUUCGGAUUGUAAACCGCUUUUAUUUGGGAGUAACUGUUUGAACGUACCAAAUGAAUAAGCACCGGCUAACUCCGUGCCAGCAGCCGCGGUAAUACGGAGGGUGCAAACGUUGUCCGGAAUUACUGGGCGUAAAGCGCAUGUAGGUGGUCUAAUAAGUGAACGAUUAAAUACCGACGCUUAACGUCGGAAAGGUUAUUCAUACUGUUAGACUCGAGGAAGACAGGGGCAGAUGGAACUUUAAGUGUAGGAGUGAUAUCCGUAGAUAUUUAAAGGAACACCAAUGGCGAAGGCAGUCUGCUGGGUCUUUUCUGACACUGAGAUGCGAAAGUGUGGGGAGCAAACGGGAUUAGAUACCCCGGUAGUCCACACUGUAAACGAUGCUCACUAGGUCUUGGAGGGUAUCGACCCCCUUUUGGACCGAAGCUAACGCGUUAAGUGAGCCGCCUGGGGAGUACGAACGCAAGUUUAAACUCAAAUGAAUUGACGG
rnacentral:rRNA from 1 species